GAGUGGCAGACGGGUGAGUAACGCGUGGGAACGUACCUUUCGGUUCGGAACAACCCAGGGAAACUUGGGCUAAUACCGGAUACGCCCUCCGGGGGAAAGAUUUAUCGCCGAAAGAUCGGCCCGCGUCAGAUUAGCUUGUUGGUGGGGUAACGGCCUACCAAGGCGACGAUCUGUAGCUGUUCUGAGAGGAAGAUCAGCCACACUGGGACUGAGACACGGCCCAGACUCCUACGGGAGGCAGCAGUGGGGAAUAUUGGACAAUGGGCGCAAGCCUGAUCCAGCCAUGCCGCGUGGAUGAAGAAGGCCCUAGGGUUGUAAAGUCCUUUCACCGCUGAAGAUAAUGACGGUAAGCGGAGAAGAAGCCCCGGCUAAUUUCGUGCCAGCAGCCGCGGUAAUACGAAAGGGGCUAGCGUUGUUCGGAAUUACUGGGCGUAAAGCGCACGUAGGCGGCCUUGUAAGUUGGGGGUGAAAUCCCGGGGCUCAACCCCGGAACUGCCUCCAAAACUACAAAGCUAGAGGCUGUGAGAGGAGAGUGGAAUUCCGAGUGUAGAGGUGAAAUUCGUAGAUAUUCGGAAGAACACCAGUGGCGAAGGCGACUCUCUGGCGCAGUUCUGACG
rnacentral:rRNA from 1 species